rnacentral:rRNA from 1 species
AUUGAACGCUGGCGGCAGGCUUAACACAUGCAAGUCGAGCGGAGCGGCGGACGGGUGCGUAAUGCCUAGGAAUCUGCCUGGUAGUGGGGGAUCACGUCCGCUAACGGGCGCUAAUACCGCAUCCACUCACCUGAGCCUAGGUCGGCUUAGCUAGUUGGUGAGGUAAAGGCCGACCAAGGCGACGAUCUGUACCUGGUCUGAGAGGAUGAUCAGUCACACUGGAACUGAGACACGGUCCAGACUCCUACGGGAGGCAGCAGUGGGGAAUAUUGGGCAAUGGGCGAAAGCCUGAUGCAGCCAUGCCGCGUGAGUGAAGAAGGUCUUCGGAUUGUAAAGCACUUUAAGUUGGGAGGCGUUACCUACAGAAUAAGCACCGGCUAACUUCGUGCCAGCAGCCGGGGUAAUAC